AGCCGCAUUGGUUGGAUUGGGAAACUCAUCAAGUAAACUGAAAUACCGAGACAAGCUUUGCUUUUCAAUGGCGGGCCACAAUCCUUCGGGAUACUUUUUAGUCAGUGGAUUACAAAGAGGGUGAGCACUCAAAUCAUGUCAUUCGGAGUUUCAUCACAUCAUCGAUGCGGCUUUAUUA
rfam:Bacteroides graminisolvens DSM 19988 = JCM 15093 DNA, contig: JCM15093.contig00011.